rnacentral:rRNA from 1 species
CGCGGAUAAAGGGUGCCCUCGGACCCCGGUUAAAGCCCGGCCGCCCUCCGACGGUCUUUAUAUCAUGGAGGAUAAAGGCCGGCUACCUCGCCUCGCGCGAGGGCGAGCGUCCGAGCCGUUGGGGCAAGCUCUCCGGGGAUGAUUCCGGGUGUCGCGUGGCUCUCGUCACGCCCCCGGACCCCGGUAGGCUGUUGGUCCCCGGCGUUCUCGGACAAUGGGCCACUCCAGUCAGCGGCGCUUCCGCUUCGGGUACUCUCCCGACCCGUCUUGAAA